rnacentral:antisense_RNA from 1 species
CUUGAGCGAGCCGAUGCGCAACGGGCUGUCUGCUGACCGUUCCUGACCGUACGUCGCCAGCAGCGCCUGGGCCUC